AUUGAACGCUGGCGGCAUGCUUUACACAUGCAAGUCGAACGGUAACAGGCCGCAAGGCGCUGACGAGUGGCGAACGGGUGAGUAAUGCAUCGGAACGUGCCCAGUCGUGGGGGAUAACGCAGCGAAAGUUGCGCUAAUACCGCAUACGAUCUAUGGAUGAAAGCGGGGGACCGUAAGGCCUCGCGCGAUUGGAGCGGCCGAUGUCAGUUUAGGUAGUUGGUGGGGUAACGGCUCACCAAGCCCACGAUCUGUAGCUGGUCUGAGAGGACGACCAGCCACACUGGGACUGAGACACGGACCAGACUCCUACGGGAGGCAGCAGUGGGGAAUUUUGGACAAUGUGCGCAAGCCUGAUCCAGCAAUGCCGCGUGCAGGAAGAAGGCCUUCGGGUUGUAAACUGCUUUUGUACGGAGCGAAAAGGCUCUCUCUAAUACAGGGGGCUCAUGACGGUACCGUAAGAAUAAGCACCGGCUAACUACGUGCCAGCCGCCGCCGUAAGAC
rnacentral:rRNA from 1 species